rnacentral:rRNA from 1 species
GGGAUUGCCCUAGUAACGGCGAGUGAAGCGGCAACAGCUCAAAUUUGAAAUCUGGCUCUUUUAGGGUCCGAGUUGUAAUUUGCAGAGGGCGCUUUGGCGUUGGCAGCGGUCCAAGUUCUUUGGAACAGGACGUCACAGAGGGUGAGAAUCCCGUACGUGGUCGCUAGCCUUCGCCGUGUAAAGCCCCUUCGACGAGUCGAGUUGUUUGGGAAUGCAGCUCUAAAUGGGAGGUAAAUUUCUUCUAAAGCUAAAUACUGGCCAGAGACCGAUAGCGCACAAGUAGAGUGAUCGAAAGAUGAAAAGCACUUUGGAAAGAGAGUCAAAUAGCACGUGAAAUUGUUGAAAGGGAAGCGCUUGCAGCCAGACUUGCCUGUAGUUGCUUAUCCGGACUUUUGUCCGGUGCACUCUUCUGCGGGCAGGCCAGCAUCAGUUUGGGCGGUUGGAUAAAGGUCUCUAUCACGUACCUCCUUUCGGGGAGGCCUUAUAGGGGAGACGUCAUGCAACCAGCCUGGACUGAGGUCCGCGCAUCUGCUAGGAUGCUGGCGUAAUGGCUGUAAGCGGCCCGUCUUGAAACACGGACCAAGGAGUCUAACAUCUAUGCGAGUGUUUGGGUGUCAAGCCCAGACGCGUAAUGAAAGUGAACGGAGGUGGGAACCUUUUAGGUGCACCAUCGACCGAUCCUGAUGUCUUCGGAAGGAUUUGAGUAAGAGCAUGGCUGUUGGGACCCGAAAGAUGGUGAACUAUGCUUGAAUAGGGUGAAGCCAGAGGAAACUCUGGUGGAGGCUCGCAGCGGUUCUGACGUGCAAAUCGAUCGUCAAAUUUGGGCAUAGGGGCG